rnacentral:rRNA from 1 species
GGGUUGUGAGGUUAAGCGACUAAGCGUACACGGUGGAUGCCCUGGCAGUCAGAGGCGAUGAAGGACGUGCUAAUCUGCGAAAAGCGUCGGUAAGGUGAUAUGAACCGUUAUAACCGGCGAUGUCCGAAUGGGGAAACCCAGUGUGAUUCGUCACACUAUCGUUAACUGAAUACAUAGGUUAACGAGGCGAACCGGGGGAACUGAAACAUCUAAGUACCCCGAGGAAAAGAAAUCAACCGAGAUUCCCCCAGUAGCGGCGAGCGAACGGGGAGCAGCCCAGAGUCUGAAUCAGCUUGUGUGUUAGUGGAACGGUCUGGAAAGUCCGACGGUACAGGGUGAUAGUCCCGUACACCAAAAUGCACAGGUUGUGAACUCGAAGAGUAGGGCGGGACACGUGGUAUCCUGUCUGAAUAUGGGGGGACCAUCCUCCAAGGCUAAAUACUCCUGACUGACCGAUAGUGAACCAGUACCGUGAGGGAAAGGCGAAAAGAACCCCGGCGAGGGGAGUGAAAAAGAACCUGAAACCGUGUACGUACAAGCAGUGGGAGCACCUUCGGGUGUGACUGCGUACCUUUUGUAUAAUGGGUCAGCGACUUAUAUUCUGUAGCAAGGUUAACCGUAUAGGGGAGCCGCAGGGAAACCGAGUCUUAACUGGGCGUUAAGUUGCAGGGUAUAGACCCGAAACCCGGUGAUCUAGCCAUGGGCAGGUUGAAGGUUGGGUAACACUAACUGGAGGACCGAACCGACUAAUGUUGAAAAAUUAGCGGAUGACUUGUGGCUGGGGGUGAAAGGCCAAUCAAACCGGGAGAUAGCUGGUUCUCCCCGAAAGCUAUUUAGGUAGCGCCUCGUGAACUCAUCUUCGGGGGUAGAGCACUGUUUCGGCUAGGGGGUCAUCCCGACUUACCAACCCGAUGCAAACUACGAAUACCGAAGAAUGUUAUCACGGGAGACACACGGCGGGUGCUAACGUCCGUCGUGAAGAGGGAAACAACCCAGACCGCCAGCUAAGGUCCCAAAGUCAUGGUUAAGUGGGAAACGAUGUGGGAAGGCACAGACAGCCAGGAUGUUGGCUUAGAAGCAGCCAUCAUUUAAAGAAAGCGUAAUAGCUCACUGGUCGAGUCGGCCUGCGCGGAAGAUGUAACGGGGCUAAACCAUGCACCGAAGCUGCGGCAGCGACACUAUGUGUUGUUGGGUAGGGGAGCGUUCUGUAAGCCUGCGAAGGUGUGCUGUGAGGGUUGCUGGAGGUAUCAGAAGUGCGAAUGCUGACAUAAGUAACGAUAAAGCGGGUGAAAAGCCCGCUCGCCGGAAGACCAAGGGUUCCUGUCCAACGUUAAUCGGGGCAGGGUGAGUCGACCCCUAAGGCGAGGCCGAAAGGCGUAGUCGAUGGGAAACAGGUUAAUAUUCCUGUACUUGGUGUUACUGCGAAGGGGGGACGGAGAAGGCUAUGUUAGCCGGGCGACGGUUGUCCCGGUUUAAGCAUGUAGGCUGAUUGUCCAGGCAAAUCCGGAUAAUCAAGGCUGAGGUGUGAUGACGAGGCACUACGGUGCUGAAGUAACAAAUGCCCUGCUUCCAGGAAAAGCCUCUAAGCAUCAGGUAACAUCAAAUCGUACCCCAAACCGACACAGGUGGUCAGGUAGAGAAUACCAAGGCGCUUGAGAGAACUCGGGUGAAGGAACUAGGCAAAAUGGUGCCGUAACUUCGGGAGAAGGCACGCUGGUGUGUAGGUGAAGUCCCUGCGGAUGGAGCUGAGACCAGUCGAAGAUACCAGCUGGCUGCAACUGUUUAUUAAAAACACAGCACUGUGCAAACACGAAAGUGGACGUAUACGGUGUGACGCCUGCCCGGUGCCGGAAGGUUAAUUGAUGGGGUUAUCCGUAAGGAGAAGCUCUUGAUCGAAGCCCCGGUAAACGGCGGCCGUAACUAUAACGGUCCUAAGGUAGCGAAAUUCCUUGUCGGGUAAGUUCCGACCUGCACGAAUGGCGUAAUGAUGGCCAGGCUGUCUCCACCCGAGACUCAGUGAAAUUGAACUCGCUGUGAAGAUGCAGUGUACCCGCGGCAAGACGGAAAGACCCCGUGAACCUUUACUAUAGCUUGACACUGAACAUUGAGCCUUGAUGUGUAGGAUAGGUGGGAGGCUUUGAAGCGUGGACGCCAGUCUGCGUGGAGCCAACCUUGAAAUACCACCCUUUAAUGUUUGAUGUUCUAACGUUGGCCCCUUAUCGGGGUUGCGGACAGUGUCUGGUGGGUAGUUUGACUGGGGCGGUCUCCUCCCAAAGCGUAACGGAGGAGCACGAAGGUUAGCUAAUCCUGGUCGGACAUCAGGAGGUUAGUGCAAUGGCAUAAGCUAGCUUGACUGCGAGCGUGACGGCGCGAGCAGGUGCGAAAGCAGGUCAUAGUGAUCCGGUGGUUCUGAAUGGAAGGGCCAUCGCUCAACGGAUAAAAGGUACUCCGGGGAUAACAGGCUGAUACCGCCCAAGAGUUCAUAUCGACGGCGGUGUUUGGCACCUCGAUGUCGGCUCAUCACAUCCUGGGGCUGAAGUAGGUCCCAAGGGUAUGGCUGUUCGCCAUUUAAAGUGGUACGCGAGCUGGGUUUAGAACGUCGUGAGACAGUUCGGUCCCUAUCUGCCGUGGGCGCUGGAGAAUUGAGGGGGGCUGCUCCUAGUACGAGAGGACCGGAGUGGACGCAUCACUGGUGUUCGGGUUGUCAUGCCAAUGGCACUGCCCGGUAGCUAAAUGCGGAAGAGAUAAGUGCUGAAAGCAUCUAAGCACGAAACUUGCCCCGAGAUGAGUUCUCCCUGAGACUUUAAGUCUCCUGAAGGAACGUUGAAGACGACGACGUUGAUAGGCCGGGUGUGUAAGCGCAGCGAUGCGUUGAGCUAACCGGUACUAAUGAACCGUGAGGCUUAACCUUACAACGCCGAAG